rnacentral:rRNA from 1 species
AGAGUUUGAUCAUGGCUCAGAACGUACGCUGGCGGCACGCCUAACACAUGCAAGUCGAACGCAGUAGCAAUACUGAGUGGCAGACGGGUGAGUAACAUGUGGGAAUCUGCCUUGUGGUUCAGGACAACAUUGGGAAACCGAUGCUAAUACUGGAUAAGCCCUUACGGGGAAAGUUUUAAUGCCAUAAGAUGAGCCCGCAUUUGAUUAGUUAGUUGGUGAGGUAAUGGCUCACCAAGACAAUGAUCAAUAGCUGAUCUGAGAGGAUGAUCAGCCACACUGGGACUGAGACACGGCCCAGACUCCUACGGGAGGCAGCAGUGGGGAAUCUUGCACAAUGGAGGAAACUCUGAUGCAGCGAUGCCGCGUGAGUGAAGAAGGCCUUUGGGUUGUAAAGCUCUUUUGUAGGGGAAGAUAAUGACUGUACCCUAAGAAUAAGGUCCGGCUAACUUCGUGCCAGCAGCCGCGGUAAUACGAAGGGACCUAGCGUAGUUCGGAAUUACUGGGCGUAAAGCGCGCGUAGGCCGUUGAGUUAGUUAAUUGUGAAAUCCCAAAGCUUAACUUUGGAACUGCAAUUAAAACUGCUCGACUAGAGUUUGAUAGAGGAAAGCGGAAUACAUAGUGUAGAGGUGAAAUUCGUAGAUAUUAUGUAGAACACCAGUUGCGAAGCGGCUUUCUGGAUCAACACUGACGCUGAGGCGCGAAAGUAUGGGUAGCAAAGAGGAUUAGAUACCCUCGUAGUCCAUACCAUAAACGAUGAUUGCUAGAUGUUGGAAAUUUAUUUUCAGUAUCGCAGCUAACGCAUUAAGCAAUCCGCCUGGGGAGUACGACCCGCAAGGUUAAAACUCAAAUGAAUUGACGGGACCC